CAAAUCGCGAUAUUUAAUGUGAUCUGCCUAUAGUGAAUCAUCAAAUCUUUGAACGCAUCUUGCACCUUAUGGUAUUCCAUAAGGUACGUCUGUUUCAGUACCAACUGUUAUCUCCCUUCCUCCUCAUUCGUUUGGGUUGAAUGAUGGAAAGAAGGAUCAGAGAUGCAUUGACUGGUCCUGGUGGUAGUAGGCUUUGCUGCCUUGUCGUCCUGCGGGGUGAUGCAGUAUUGCAGCCGAAGACAAAAUCCACUCUCGACCUAAUGAUAAAGCCGGCUUAACCGAGCGAAAGGGGACCUCCUCACCUUUUUGUCUUCCCUCUUGGGGGAAUGGGAGAAAGAGAAAGGGGGGACCUGAGUAGUAGGGAGGUUUUGCUUUGAUAAUGAAUACAUUCUGUAAAGUUUACUUUGCAGGAUCCAAUAGACUCAAACAUCUAUUGGAACUCAUUACUUUGGCCUGAAAUCAGAUGGGACUACCCGCUGAACUUAAGC
rnacentral:misc_RNA from 1 species